UACCGAGUGCCGGGCGCAAGCCCGUCUUCGCACACCCUCUGUCGACUCUCCGCAGUUGCUUCGGCGGCGGCCCUUGCGGCCCCGCCGGAGAACCCCCCCAAACGCAUGGCAAACCGGUCUGUCCGAGGCUAUACGCGAAAUCAGUCAAAACUUUUAACAACGGAUCUCUUGGUUCGGGCAUCGAUGAAGAACGCAGCGAAAUGCGAUACGUAAUGUGAAUUGCAGAAUUCAGUGAAUCAUCGAAUCUUUGAACGCACAUUGCGCCCGUCGGCAUUCCGACGGGCACGCCUGUCCGAGCGUCAUUGCACCCGUCAAGCCUCGCUUGGUGUUGGGGGACGUCGCGCCUCGCGCGCGACCCCCCCGGAACCCGUUGGCGGUGGCCCUUCGCCCCGAUCGUCGCGCUCGUUACGACGGCGCGGGGGGACCGCCCGCCCAACCGGCUGGCAACAAACGCUGACCUCG
rnacentral:sRNA from 1 species